GGCUCAGGAUGAACGCUAGCGGCAGGCUUAACACAUGCAAGUCGAGGGGCAGCAUGAGACGGAGAUUCGUCGAAGUCUUGAUGGCGACCGGCGCAAGGGUGCGUAACGCGUGAGCAACUUGCCCGUUUCUGGGGAAUAACCGGUGGAAACGCCGACUAAUACCCCCAUGGUAUCUUUUUGAGGCAUCUCUUAAAGAUUAAAGAAUAUCGGAAACGGAUAGGCUCGCGUGACAUUAGCUAGAUGGCGGGGUAACGGCCCACCAUGGCGACGAUGUCUAGGGGUUCUGAGAGGAAGGUCCCCCACACUGGAACUGAGACACGGUCCAGACUCCUACGGGAGGCAGCAGUGAGGAAUAUUGGUCAAUGGUCUGACGACUGAACCAGCCAUGCCGCGUGAAGGAUACGGCCCUAUGGGUCUUAAACUUCUUUUGUAAGGGAGCAAUAAGGGUCACGUGUGGUCUGAUGAGAGUACCUUACGAAUAAGCAUCGGCUAACUCCGUG
rnacentral:rRNA from 1 species